rnacentral:rRNA from 1 species
GAUGAACGCUGGCGGCGUGCUUAACACAUGCAAGUCGAACGGUGAAGCCAAGCUUGCUUGGUGGAUCAGUGGCGAACGGGUGAGUAACACGUGAGCAACCUGCCCUGGACUCUGGGAUAAGCGCUGGAAACGGCGUCUAAUACUGGAUAUGAGACGUGAUCGCAUGGUCGUGUUUGGAAAGAUUUUUCGGUCUGGGAUGGGCUCGCGGCCUAUCAGCUUGUUGGUGAGGUAAUGGCUCACCAAGGCGUCGACGGGUAGCCGGCCUGAGAGGGUGACCGGCCACACUGGGACUGAGACACGGACCAGACUCCUACGGGAGGCAGCAGUGGGGAAUAUUGCACAAUGGGCGAAAGCCUGAUGCAGCAACGCCGCGUGAGGGAUGACGGCCUUCGGGUUGUAAACCUCUUUUAGCAGGGAAGAAGCGAAAGUGACGGUACCUGCAGAAAAAGCGCCGGCUAACUACGUGCCAGCCGCCGCGGUAAUAC